rnacentral:rRNA from 1 species
UACGUAGUGUGCGAGCGCUAAUCGGAAUUACUGGGCGUAAAGCGUGCGCAGGCGGUUCGUUAUGUCCGUUGUGAAAGCCCCGGGCUCAACCUGGGAAUGGCAAUGGAAACUGGCGGGCUAGAGUGUGGCAGAGGGGGGUGGAAUUCCGCGUGUAGCAGUGAAAUGCGUAGAGAUGUGGAGGAACACCGAUGGCGAAGGCAGCCCCCUGGGCUGAGAUUGACGCUCAGGCACGAAAGCGUGGGGAGCAAACAGG